CCUACGGGAGGCAGCAGUGGGGAAUUUUGGACAAUGGGCGAAAGCCUGAUCCAGCAAUGCCGCGUGCAGGAUGAAGGCCUUCGGGUUGUAAACUGCUUUUGUACGGAGCGAAAAGGUUCUCUUUAAUAAAGAGGAUCCAUGACGGUACCGUAAGAAUAAGCACCGGCUAACUACGUGCCAGCAGCCGCGGUAAUACGUAGGGUGCAAGCGUUAAUCGGAAUUACUGGGCGUAAAGCGUGCGCAGGCGGUUAUAUAAGACAGUUGUGAAAUCCCCGGGCUCAACCUGGGAACUGCAUCUGUGACUGUAUAGCUAGAGUACGGUAGAGGGGGAUGGAAUUCCGCGUGUAGCAGUGAAAUGCGUAGAUAUGCGGAGGAACACCGAUGGCGAAGGCAAUCCCCUGGACCUGUACUGACGCUCAUGCACGAAAGCGUGGGGAGCAAACAGGAUUAGAUACCCUGGUAGUCCACGCCCUAAACGAUGUCAACUGGUUGUUGGGUCUUCACUGACUCAGUAACGAAGCUAACGCGUGAAGUUGACCGCCUGGGGAGUACGGCCGCAAGGUUGAAACUCAAAGAGUUAGACGGCGNGAGAGAGACGACGACGACGACGAGGAGGGAGG
rnacentral:rRNA from 1 species